UACGAAGGGGGCUAGCGUUGUUCGGAAUUACUGGGCGUAAAGCGCACGUAGGCGGCUUGGUAUGUCGGGUGUGAAAUCCCCGGGCUCAACCUGGGAACUGCAUCCGAAACUGCCUUGCUAGAGUAUGGGAGAGGGAAGUGGAAUUUCCGGUGUAGCGGUGAAAUGCGUAGAUAUCGGAAGGAACAUCAGUGGCGAAGGCGGCCUGCUGGGCAGUAGCUGACGCUGAGGCGCGACAGCGUGGGGAGCAAACAGG
rnacentral:rRNA from 1 species